ACUCCUGCGGGAGGCAGCAGUGGGGAAUAUUGGACAAUGGGCGCAAGCCUGAUCCAGCCAUGCCGCGUGAGUGAUGAAGGCCCUAGGGUUGUAAAGCUCUUUCACCGGUGAAGAUAAUGACGGUAACCGGAGAAGAAGCCCCGGCUAACUUCGUGCCAGCAGCCGCGGUAAUACGAAGGGGGCUAGCGUUGUUCGGAUUUACUGGGCGUAAAGAGCACGUAGGCGGACUAUUAAGUCAGGGGUGAAAUCCCGGGGCUCAACCCCGGAACUGCCUUUGAUACUGGUAGUCUUGAGUUCGAGAGAGGUGAGUGGAAUUCCUAGUGCAGAGGUGAAAUUCGUAGAUAUUCGGAGGAACACCAGUGGCGAAGGCGGCUCACUGGCUCGAUACUGACGCUGAGGUGCGAAAGCGUGGGGAGCAAACAGGAUUAGAAACCCCUGUAGUCCCAUG
rnacentral:rRNA from 1 species